AGUUCUUCUUUAUCAACCAUCGGCCGUGUGACCCAGCAAAGGUUUCCAAACUUGUGAAAGAAGUGUAUCACAUGUACAACAGACACCAGCAUCCAUGUGUUGUUCUGAACAUAUGUGCGGACUCAGAGUCUGUUGAGAUCAAUGUAACACCCGACAAAAGGCAAACAUUUCUGCAAGAAGAAAAGCUUUUACUAGCAGUUCUCAAAACUUCAAUGAUGGGAAUGUUUGGCAGCGAUGUUAACAAACUUGUCCUCAGUCAGAAGCUGAUGGAUGUUGA